rnacentral:rRNA from 1 species
CCUACGGGAGGCUGCAGUGAGGAAUAUUGGUCAAUGGACGAGAGUCUGAACCAGCCAAGUAGCGUGAAGGAUGACUGCCCUAUGGGUUGUAAACUUCUUUUAUAUGGGAAUAAAAUGUUCCACGUGUGGGAUUUUGUAUGUACCAUAUUAAUAAGGAUCGGCUAACUCCGUGCCAGCAGCCGCGGUAAUACGGAGGAUCCGAGCGUUAUCCGGAUUUAUUGGGUUUAAAGGGAGCGUAGGUGGAUUGUUAAGUCAGUUGUGAAAGUUUGCGGCUCAACCGUAAAAUUGCAGUUGAAACUGGCAGUCUUGAGUACAGUAGAGGUGGGCGGAAUGCGUGGUGUAGCGGUGAAAUGCUUAGAUAUCACGAAGAACUCCGAUUGCGAAGGCAGUUCACUGGACUGCAACUGACACUGAGGCUCGAAAGUGUGGGUAUCAAACAGGAUUAGAUACCCCUGUAGUC